rnacentral:rRNA from 1 species
UGGGGAAUCUUGGACAAUGGGGGAAACCCUGAUCUAGCCAUCCCGCGUGUGCGAUGAAGGCCUCCGGGGUGUAAAGCACUUUUGGAAGGAAAGAAACGUCAUGGGUUAAUACCCCGUGAAACUGACGGUACAUGCAGAAUAAGCACCGGCUAACUACGUGCCAGCAGCCGCGGUAAUACGUAGGGUGCAAGCGUUAACCGGAAUUACUGGGCGUAAAGCGUGCGCAGGCGGUUCGGAAAGAAAGAUGUGAAAUCCCAGAGCUCAACUUUGGAACUGCAUUUUUAACUACCGGGCUAGAGUGUGUCAGAGAGAGGUGGAAUUCCGCGUGUAGCAGUGAAAUGCCUAGAUAUGCGGAGAAACACCGAUGGCGAAGGCAGCCUCCUGCGUUUACACUGACGCUCAUGCACGAAAGCGUGGAGAGCAAACGGG